rnacentral:rRNA from 1 species
AACGAACGCUGGCGGCGCGCCUAAUACAUGCAAGUCGAGCGAGAAGACGUAGCAAUACGUUUGUAAAGCGGCGAACGGGUGAGGAAUACAUGGGUAACCUACCCUCGAGUGGGGAAUAACUAGCCGAAAGGUUAGCUAAUACCGCGUACGCUCCUUGGACUUCGGUUCAGGGAGGAAAGCGAUACCGUGGGUAUCGCGCUCUUGGAUGGGCUCAUGUCCUAUCAGCUUGUUGGUGAGGAACGGCUCACCAAGGCUUCGACGGGUAGCUGGUCUGAGAGGACGAUCAGCCACACUGGCACUGCGACACGGGCCAGACUCCUACGGGAGGCAGCAGUAAGGAAUAUUGCGCAAUGGGCGAAAGCCUAACGCAGCGACGCCGCGUGGGGGAUGAAGGUC